rnacentral:rRNA from 1 species
AAAUUGAAGAGUUUGAUCAUGGCUCAGAUUGAACGCUGGCGGCAGGCCUAACACAUGCAAGUCGAACGGUAACAGGAAGAAGCUUGCUUCUUUGCUGACGAGUGGCGGACGGGUGAGUAAUGUC